rnacentral:lncRNA from 1 species
UUCCCUUUGCCUGAUCUUGGUUGUCAAUGAUCUUCUUCAAAACCAAGUUAUAUUGUUUAAAUUGCCGUAGCCGAACUUUUCUGUUGUAGGAUCUGGCGAUCCUUUGUUUGUAUAACUGACCAUGGAAGAUAGCAUCACUUCGUCAUUCGUCUAUUAGAGACAAUUAGUGAUAUUUGUCUUAUAACCAUUGGUCUUCAUCCAGCUAAGCGUCAAUCAACACUCUGAG